rnacentral:lncRNA from 1 species
AAAGACCAGAAAACUUCGGACAACCAUGAAGCAGGUAACAGAAGCAGGUAACACAAGCAGCAAUGCAGAAGCAGGUAACACAAGCAGCAAACAGAAGCAGGUAACACAAGCAGCAAACAGAAGCAGGUAACACAAGCAGCAAUGCAAAACAGAAGCAGGUAACAGAAGCAGCAAUGCAAAACAGGCGAGCACAGAACAAGAUCAGAACAGGCGAGCACAGAUCAAGGGGGCUCAGAAACAAGGGGGGCUCAAAAACAAGAUCAGAACAGGCGAGCACAGAACAAGAUCAGAACAGGCGAGCACAGAUCAAGAUCCAAAAUCAAGCAUAGAAUAGGCGAGCACAGAACAAGAUCAGAACCUCAGAAAAUCAAACUCAUGAAGCAUAGCUGAAAGAAGUAAAGAACAGAGUCU